GGCCUUCAAGAGCUAUAAGUCUACUCAGCACACCUGUGUUGAAAGAACCUCUACAAACAAAGACCUCAUCUUCAAGCUCCUGCAGAAACACCACUGGUUUUCAACCUGCUUGGGUGUCAUGUAUUGAAAAGUACAAGGAUUUAAA